rnacentral:lncRNA from 10 species
UCCAUCUCAAAAAAAAAGAUAUUCACUGUUAAUUAUUUGAAACCAUCCAGGCCAAAAUACCCACUUUGAGAUCCUUUGUCCACUGGUUGGCCAUGGUGCAGCUGUGUGCACAUUCUAACACACUGACUCAAAGAGUUUGGAUCCCAUGUGUUGCAAAUAGUUCAGUCUAGCAGGAGCUGUGGACAACAGUGCAGACAGAUGUGCUCAUUGGUUGGCACAUCCGAAAUAAGCACUUUAUGAUGCUAGAAAUGAAAGUGCCCUUUAGUUCCGAGGAGGAAAUAGAAGGCACUCAGUCAGCUCUGAUCAAGCCAUUCUUGGAUUCAUGGGCAGCAAUUGCAGGGCCAGGAAGGAGCUGAAGUGAAUCUUCCUUAUCCCUCUGCCUCGGGUGUCAGAACCUGUUUACUGGAACUGGAAGAUAUUGCCUACAUUGCCUGAGACAGGCCUUCCCUCCUCUUGCUUCUGAUGUUGCAGAGUAGAAGUCAGGAACUUUUCAGAGAAGGAAACUGAAUCCAGAAAGGCUGAUGUUUCUCAAGGCCACAGAGCUGGCCAGUAGCAGAGUUGGGGACUCGAGGUGAACUUGAGUUGGCUCCACUGUCCCAGGCUGGCUCCAUGAC